rnacentral:rRNA from 1 species
AUAACGACUCUCGGCAACGGAUAUCUCGGCUCUCGCAUCGAUGAAGAACGUAGCGAAAUGCGAUASUUGGUGUGAAUUGCAGAAUCCCGCGAAUCAUCGAGUCUUUGAACGCAAGUUGCGCCCGAAGCCAUCUGGUCGAGGGCACGUCUGCCUGGGUGUCACGCA